UACGGGGGGGGCAAGCGUUGUUCGGAAUUACUGGGCGUAAAGGGCUCGUAGGCGGCCAACUAAGUCAGACGUGAAAUCCCUCGGCUUAACCGGGGAACUGCGUCUGAUACUGGAUGGCUUGAGUUUGGGAGAGGGAUGCGGAAUUCCAGGUGUAGCGGUGAAAUGCGUAGAUAUCUGGAGGAACACCGGUGGCGAAGGCGGCCCUCUGGAUCGUUGCUAACGCUGAGACGCGAAAGCGUGGGGAGCAAACAGG
rnacentral:rRNA from 1 species